rnacentral:rRNA from 1 species
AACGAACGCUGGCGGCAGGCUUAACACAUGCAAGCCGAGCGCCCCGCAAGGGGAGCGGCAGACGGGUGAGUAACGCGUGGGCAUCUACCCAUCUCUACGGAAUAACGCAUGGAAACGUGUGCUAAUACCGUAUACGUCCUUCGGGAGAAAGAUUUAUCGGAGGUGGAUGAGCCCGCGUUGGAUUAGCUAGUUGGUGGGGUAAAGGCCUACCAAGGCGACGAUCCAUAGCUGGUCUGAGAGGAUGAUCAGCCACACUGGGACUGAGACACGGCCCAGACUCCUACGGGAGGCAGCAGUGGGGAAUAUUGGACAAUGGGCGCAAGCCUGAUCCAGCCAUGCCGCGUGAGUGAUGAAGGCCCUAGGGUUGUAAAGCUCUUUCACCGGUGAAGAUAAUGACGGUAACCGGAGAAGAAGCCCCGGCUAACUUCGUGCCAGCCGCCGCGGUAAUAC